CACUAAUUGGCCGCCGAUACAGGUGUCAGCAGAGGCUGAUUAAAGCCAAAAUAAAAGGAGCCUAGAUGGAAGGAGGGGGAGGAAAAAACAACCUGUUUCUGUAGGCUACAGAAACCGACACGCUGCGGAGCGAGGGGAAGACGGAAUCUGCACGUCAGGCGCAGAAGACCGGGAGCUGAAUAGACGGCCCAGUACAGAGGAUUAGGGCAGAGGGGAACCUCUGCCCGCGCCUCUGGAUCGGGCGGAAGAGGGGCGUUGCACGCCGAAGAGUGGAGCGGUGCUGGAGCAUCGUGCCGUCAGCUGGGGACUGGCAACGGAGUGCGCUGCAGACGGAUUACCUCCACCAGAAGCAACAUAAGAAGCGGAGCCCACCCCAUGGCCUCGGAUUGGUGACUUUUAGACAAUUACUGAGCCCUGGAUUUUAUUGAGGACAAGAGGGCAGUUUUAUUGUGUCACUAUUCGUGACUUUUAUUUAUUUUUUGGUAAUAAAAUACCUUGCGCCUGA